rnacentral:rRNA from 1 species
UGCAGGCCUAACACAUGCAAGUCGAACGGUAGCACAGAGAGCUGCUCUCGGGUGACGAGUGGCGGACGGGUGAGUAAUGUCUGGGAAACUGCCUGAUGGAGGGGGAUAACUACUGGAAACGGUAGCUAAUACCGCAUAACGUCGCAAGACCAAAGAGGGGGACCUUCGGGCCUCUUGCCAUCAGAUGUGCCCAGAUGGGAUUAGCUAGUAGGUGGGGUAACGGCUCACCUAGGCGACGAUCCCUAGCUGGUCUGAGAGGAUGACCAGCCACACUGGAACUGAGACACGGUCCAGACUCCUACGGGAGGCAGCAGUGGGGAAUAUUGCACAAUGGGCGCAAGCCUGAUGCAGCCAUGCCGCGUGUAUGAAGAAGGCCUUCGGGUUGUAAAGUACUUUCAGCGGGGAGGAAGGUGUUGCGGUUAAUAACCGCAGCAAUUGACGUUACCCGCAGAAGAAGCACCGGCUAACUCCGUGCCAGCAGCCGCGGUAAUACGGAGGGUGCAAGCGUUAAUCGGAAUUACUGGGCGUAAAGCGCACGCAGGCGGUCUGUCAAGUCGGAUGUGAAAUCCCCGGGCUCAACCUGGGAACUGCAUUCGAAACUGGCAGGCUAGAGUCUUGUAGAGGGGGGUAGAAUUCCAGGUGUAGCGGUGAAAUGCGUAGAGAUCUGGAGGAAUACCGGUGGCGAAGGCGGCCCCCUGGACAAAGACUGACGCUCAGGUGCGAAAGCGUGGGGAGCAAACAGG